rnacentral:rRNA from 1 species
GACGAACGCUGGCGGCGUGCCUAAUACAUGCAAGUCGAACGCAGUUGCGCCGAGUGAGUAACACGUGGGUAACCUCCCAUCAGAGGGGAUACCACUUGGAAACAGGUGCUAAACCGCUACUGCUGGAUGGACACGCGGUGCCUUAGCUUUGUGGCUAGGUAACGGCUCACCAAGGCCACGAUGCAUAGCCGACCUGAGAGGAGGAUCGGACACACUGGAACUGAGACACGGACCAGACUCCUACGGGAGGCAGCAGUAGGGAAUCUUCGGCAAUGGACGAAAGUCUGACCGAGCAACGCCGCGUGAGUGAAGAAGGUUUUCGGAUCGUAAAACUCUGUUGUUAGAGAAGCGGUAUCUAACCAGAAAGCCACGGCUAACUACGUGCCAGCAGCCGCGGUAAUAC